GCUGCUGGACAAAGAAAUUAGCAGAGUACGGAAAGACAUGUAUAACGACACAUUAAAUGGUAGUACGGAGAAGAGAAGUGCAGAAUUACCAGAUGCUGUGGGACCUAUUGUACAGUUACAAGAGAAACUAUAUGUGCCUGUAAAAGAAUAUCCAGAUGUAAGUAUAUCU